rnacentral:rRNA from 1 species
UACGUAGGGGGCUAGCGUUGCUCGGAAUCACUGGGCGUAAAGGGUGCGUAGGCGGGUCUUUUAAGUCAGGGGUGAAAUCCUGGAGCUCAACUCCAGAACUGCCUUUGAUACUGAAGAUCUUGAGUUCGGGAGAGGUGAGUGGAACUGCGAGUGUAGAGGUGAAAUUCGUAGAUAUUCGGAAGAACACCAGUGGCGAAGGCGACUUACUGGACACAUAUUGACGCUGAGGUGCGAAAGCGUGGGGAGCAAACAGG